AAUGUGAAACAAAAGGAAUGAUUUUUGUAUCUAUUGCAAUUCCCUCCAGAAAUCCCCUUUGCUUUAAAAGGGCAUAGAUGUUAUCAGUGCCCAAGAAGAGUAAGGCGACAUGCCUCAAUAACUACCAACCCGAAGAAGUAAGAAUUUCUUUGUUCCGUUUCGGGGCAUAUGAUGAUAAACACUCUUGACUUGUCAUGAUCUGAUGGUAUGCAAACUACAAACAGAGACUGCACCAUGCCAGAUGAGCAUAGCAGAAAUACUUCUCUCAAGUCAACUGCAGGCCAAAAGCAUUGAUCAAACCAUAUAGAAACCAUAUAUAACAAUUACAGCACGGAAACAGGCCAUCUCGGCCCUACAAGUCCGUGCCGAACACUUAUUUUCCCUUAGUCCCAUCUACCUGCACUCAGACCAUAACCCUCCAUUCCUUUCCCAUCCAUAUACCGAUCCAAUUUAUUUUUAAAUGAUAAAAUCGAACCUGCCUCCACCACUUCCACUGGAAGCUCAAUCCACACAGCUACCACUCUCCGAGUAAAGACGUUCCCCCUCAUGUUACCCCUAAUCUUCUGUCCCUUAAUUCUGAAAUCAUGUCCUCUUGUUUGAAUCUUCCCUACUCUCAAUGGGAAAAGCUUAUCCACGUCAACUCUGUCUAUCCCUCUCAUCAUUUUAAAGACCUCUACCAAGUCCCCCCUUAACCUUCUGCGCUCCAGAGAAUAAAGACCAAGUUGAAGAAUAUUUUGAUUUGUAUUUUUUUUUCUUUUCAAUUCUCCUCACUUUUAUAGUUUUCCAGUGGUUUGUCUAUUUUUUGAGACUUCAUCAAACGGCACGGUGGCGCAGUGGUAGAGUAGGCCAAGAGUUGGGUAUUAGCAACAGACAGAAGUGCCAAUCUGUUGGCUUGAAGUAGUGAUGGGUCAAAAGGUCUAUGACCAGAUAAGGAUAAAUUCAGCCAAAGUCAAAUAUUAAAUGAGGUAACCUUGUUAGAUCCAGACAGUAAAUCCAAAACUAUGAUUAGACUCGUGUGUGACCUAGACAGGCCGGAGUAAUUAUAAUACCCAAAUUAGACCAGUAUAUGAAUGCUCAACAUCAUUUGGCAGGUUUAUGCAAACCCAAUGAAGGGAUAAAAAUCUAACCAUGCCUUCUGACAUUUCAGUUUCUAUUUAUGCCAUUUAAAAAUUCCAAUUCACAGAAAGGAAUUUGAAGGCAAUUCAUUUAAAAUCUGAUAUUGUACUGUAUCAGAAUCUGAUGUAAGUUCUUGACCUGAAUGUCAACAAUUCCUUUACUCCCCACAGACUCACUGAGUUCUUCCACCAGUUUGUCUGCAUUCCAAGAACUGGUUCUAGAUUUGAAACACUCCCAAACACUCAUUACCCUUUACUUCACACAACUGCCUUUUUGCACCACAAAAAUGUGGUUAUUUAACAAGAUUUUAAUUGUGAUUGGAUGUAUGUGCAAUGAUAUGGAAAACAAACCAAUGACCAGUUUUACUUCAGUGAAAUUUCUGUAUGGUAUUGGUCCUAUUUCCAGACUAAGCCAACGUGAAGUGCCAUUGAUUCCAAACUGGAGCAAGCAUACUGUUCCAUUCAAACACGGAGGUGUAUUGGAAUUGGACCCACAGAUACCAACCAGACACAGGGCCAACCUAGGUAAAAAAAAGUCACAAAGUGCUGGUGUAAAUCAGUGGGUCAGGCAACAUCUCAGGAGAACAUGGAUCAAAGACGUUUUGGGUCGGGACCUUUCUUCACAUUAGAUCCUUCUUCAACUUGAGUAAUGUGCAGUAGCAUGUGUACUUUGGUGCCUUUCAAUGACGUCUCCAUCUUUAACCACAUAAUGAUGAUGAUUCAGUAUUAACCUAGUCUCGAUUGACUAACGAGGAAGUGGGAACUGAAUUUCUUUCACACGAACCUUUCCUCACGGCACAGAGUGGCCCCAUCACAGAAGUGGAAGUAUUCUGAGCUAAUUCUGCUACCACCGCCAUCUAUUGCAACAAUUGUGGGCUUCCACUGAGUGUCGCCGGAGGUUUGUAGGUAUAUUGCAAAACCUACCUUAAGCUUCGCUGCAGAUCUGUCCCAGCCCGUGUGUGUGAUUAUGGCUCCGUUUAGAGGGGGGCGAGUUUCCCUAGGCUGUUCAAAUCGAGCUUGUUCAGCCGACCUCA